CAUAAUCAGAUUCGAAACGGUUUCAGCGGGGAACAGCCGCUGAAGGCAACAGGGAAAGUGCCGUUCGAAUCGGCCGCUGUCCCGCAACUGUGAUUUGGCUUGUUUUCAAGUCGAUAAGUCAGGAUUCCUGCCGUUUUGCACAAUCCAAC
rnacentral:ncRNA from 2 species